CAGCAACACAGUCUGCCCCCAGAUUGGUGCCACAGGCCUGGGCUCAGCCUCUUGCCUGCCUAAGUUCCGCGCUUGUCCUGUUGCUCCACACUAGGACUCUGCCUCUCAUGCUCCAAGCCCCUUCCUCAAUCUAUUUCCUCUACUCCUGGACUCCACUUUUUGCGCUCCUAAACCCGGUCCUCAGCCCAAUUACUACAGACCCUGGCUCCGCCUUCAUCAUUUCUAAGUUCCGCCCUCAUAACUGUUGCUCCCCUCUGGACUCCGCCUCUCGCGCAACAAGCCCCGCCCUCAGCCUAUUUCUCCACUUCCGGGAUCUGCCCUCUGGGCCCCUGAGCUCCGCCCUCAACCGCUGGCUUCACACCGAGGCCCCGCCUCCCACGUGCGGGCGCUCCUCUCCUAGAGCUCACUGGUCUUUCCAGAAGUCCUCAAGUUUCAUGCGACCAGCAGUGAACUUUACUGGGUAGGGGUGGGAAGCCGGUGGCUCCGGACAGUCGUGAUAACCCGGCACAGAAGCAGAGUCGCAUUUCGGAGCGUCCACUCGUAACGCGGCUUCUCGCACACGGAGCCCGUAGUCCAGGGGAGAGGAGGCCAGGGAGGCCCUGGAGAGGUUGUAGGUUCUUUCAUCAUUUCCUUCCCAGCAUGCACUUGUACAUGCUGUACACUCCACUCUCUUCAUUACCACAACAGGACUACAAAAUCUUUAGAGGAUGAACAGCCAAACAAGGUGACUUACCGCCUGCCAGGAGAGCUUAUUAAAGGAUUUCAUUUCUUGGGCAUCCAGGGAGGAGUCAAAACAAACAAACCAACAAAAACUCAUGUUACCUUGCAAAAGAUGACAAUCUUUUGAAAGUCAAAAUUCCUAAGCCAGUGACCAUUGGAGAAGCCUGGCUGGCAUUUUGUUGAGUAUUGUGUCCUGAGUCUCUAACCUGCCACCCUCUGAACUGAGACCUCAGCUGCAGGAGCUGAAAAGGAAGAAGAAGGAUGACUCGGAAGCAGGGCUGUGGAGAAGCACCUCAGCAGGCAGAGAACAUGUUUUGAUCGCAUGCUGGUAACUAUUUAAAAAUGAAAGAGGAAUUCUAUUUUUUGCCUGAAAAAGGCAAGAAAAAUGGGAGCUGCAGAGAUGGUUCAGGAUUUAAGAACAUUUGCUUAUGUAGAGGACCCAGGUUUGAUUCCAAACCACCACAUGGUGGCUCACAACUGUUCUGUAUCUCCAGUAUCAAAGGUCAGCUGCUAUCCUCUGGCCUUUGAGGGCACCAUGCAGGCAAAAGUGUAGUGAGCAUGCAGAUACAUGUACCCAAACACUCAUAUAUUAAAAAGUCACCAGUUGGGACAGUAGAAAUAAGCUUUCCUGUCAAAAAAAGAAGUUAUGUAAAAUUUUUCACAAAGCCCAAGUCAUUAUGUAUAGCUAGAGGUAUCCAGAUGAACCAACAUCAAAGGCCCAUUCUGGAUCCAUUCUUGAGAAUAUGGCGACGCCACUUGAAGAAAUGAGGUACCACUGAAAUGGCCGCUCUCUUGAACUUAGUGAGAACCUUCACCUGGCUUCCAUAACACUAGAGAAGCCUUUUUUUUUAAGGGUCCCUAUGAACAAUGUUCUUCUCUUAUUUGAGUGCCAGAAAGUCUCUACUCAUUGUAUAAAUAUCGCUACUUACACACACCCAUUGCUAUUGACACAGCCAUAGCCAUCCCUCCCAGACCACAGGGAGUACAUC
rnacentral:lncRNA from 1 species